UGAGAGGGAACGGAAUUCGGAACUGAAGCCUCUCAUAAGUCUCGGCGUUCUGAUGACGCGCCCAACGGUUCACUUUUUACAGUUCCGCGGAAGAGGCACCAGUGGCCCUCGAUUGUGCGCGUCUCGUGAUUAAAUUCUAGUUAGCGAGAUUAGUAGUUCGAACUAGUGCCGUGUCGUGUGCGUGUGUGAAAUUCUGCCGUGCAUGUGCGUUCCAGAAAUCCUGCUCUGCAUCCACCGCCACGCUCGUCAAAGACGGCCCGAUCUACCGGGGACCAGCUACCGCUU